rnacentral:lncRNA from 1 species
CACAAAUUGGAGCCGCUGUGCAAUGCUAUCCGAGAGCGCUACGCUCGCCCCCUCCUCCUCCUCCUCCUCUCCGGUUCUCGCUCGCUCUGAGCCCCUGCAGCGCCUAGGAUCACAUUUCCUUUGUCAUCUCGCCUCUUCGCGUGGUGUUUUAUUGAAAAAACAAAAAUAAUAUAAAACCCGAAGAGGGGGAGGGAGGAGGGGAAGGAAAAAAUAAAAACAGCAAAAAAAGAGCCUCAAACGCCCGCCUCCCCCGCGAUCUGCCGAGCCGGAGCCCACCGGCCCCGGGGGGUGAAUUAGCAGGAAUUACUCACUGAUGCGGCAGCACCGUCCCGGGCGGCGUGGGAUCCGGGGAGAGCCAUCGCGCCGGGCGCCUUCCCCCUGCCUGGCGGGGUUCCAAAGGCAGCCACAAGCCAUGGCUGUGAGGAUUGCUCACCAAAAGCCCUUCAGAGAACUGAGAAACUCGGAGUGCUAAUGCCCUUAUGGGAGGCCAAGCGAUGGGAAUUGCUGAUGGAGUCCAUGGGCAACGAACGUGUGUUAAGUUGUAAACAAGCAUGAAUAUUUAUUAUGCUUCUGUAGUAUAUUCAGCUGAGAACUUGCCUUAUGUAUCACUAGAGGAUUUGGCUCAG